rnacentral:rRNA from 1 species
UACGAAGGGGGCUAGCGUUGCUCGGAAUUACUGGGCGUAAAGGGAGCGUAGGUGGACAGUUUAGUCAGAGGUGAAAGCCCAGGGCUCAACCUUGGAAUUGCCUUUGAUACUGGCUGUCUUGAGUACGGAAGAGGUAUGUGGAACUCCGAGUGUAGAGGUGAAAUUCGUAGAUAUUCGGAAGAACACCAGUGGCGAAGGCGACAUACUGUCCGUACUGACACUGAGGCUCGAAAGCGUGGGGAAGCA